GUACUAAUUACAUUAAUAAUAAUUGACAUCAGUGAGCUUUGGAUCAACCUCUGACGGAAUACAUUUACAUCUCGUUAGUUCCCCUGAUGGAGUUAUGCUUCUGCUUCUUCUACAGACACAGGGGGACUGCAGGAGGAUCUGCCUGUCCAGCCACAGUGGGUCCUCUGGCCUGGAUGUGGGGAGCGAUGCGAUGCCAGGAGCUCCUUUGAGCUGGCUGGAGGAGAGCUCAGUUUCCAGUGGAUCUGUGCCGUGAUGCUGACAGAUUUUGCUGUCUACAAGUGAAAUACCAAAGCACCCAUAUUGUCUUGCAGUGUUGUGUAAACCCUUCUGAGAUCGCUGGAGAACAAAUAGAUGGUUCAGGAGUGAGCUUCAGCCAUAGGGGACAUGCACUCUUUGGGAAUCAGCAAGCAGUCCUGCAGUCAGUAAUCUCACCUGGUAGUGGCGGGAGGUCUUUUAUGUUUGGUUUGCUGAGUAUGUAUAAGCACUGCUCUUUGAUAUCCACGUUGAUCCACGGGGAGAAUAUGCUGGAAAAGAUCCUUUGAUUUCGGCAUUCUGAAGGAAAAUAUGUAUGUCUCUAGCUCCCAGGACGGAGUGAAAGUGGGAACGUUGGGGGAUGUUAGAAGCAAGAGACAGAAAUAAGAGAAGGAAGAAAGGAAUGUGAAGACAGAAAUAUUUGACUGUUCGCCAUUUUUCUUUCCCUUGAUGACACCUUGGAGCUACCUCAAAACCAGAGCUUGGCUUGGGAGCGUAUAGAAGUGAUGUUUAGCUCAUAGCAGAAGAGAAUAAUGAAUGGCAGUGGUUGUGGGAAAACCCUGGGGAACCUUAGGCUGCUGAGGUGAGAGUGUGAAGACCAGAUACACAAAUAUGUAAAAAAAACCCAGAACAGAACAGCCUAUAACAAGCUGGAAAUUAAAUGAGAGCUUAAGUAAAUCAAAGGAGAGGAUUAUUAUUGUUAUUAUUUUGCUAAUGAGUCACAAUUAAGAGAGCUUUAUUUCCUUUUAAUGUGAAAGAUCUGGGUUCUUUCACAGCUCAGUUUUUCAUUCAGUGUUGGGUGGGGUCCGUUAUGGAAAUGAAGGAUCAGACCCAUGGUGACAGAUAUUCUCCCACCUUUUCCACAUCCUUUCUGAAGAGGUUGUUCAGUCCAAGAUUCAUGGACACAGGGGAGUGGGAAAACUGUGCUAUAUUAAACCUCUGAGCAUGAUUAUAGCUAUUGCUAAUUAAAAGAAGUGUGCCCUGUGAAAAGCCUGUGAAAGUUGCCUUAGCACUGUCUGUGGUGGUGUCUGGAACUGGGAUGUCAAACAUGCAGAUUAUCCCUCUUGGGUUAGCUAAAAAGCAUUGAAGUUUCUUCCUCUGCCCAUCACCUCUUAAAUCCCUAUUUUCAAAUUAGCAUUAUCCUAAUAAGAUAUGCUGAGAUCCUGCCUGUUCCUUAUCCAGCUGGGGAUAUAUUAAGACUGUAUUUCAUUAGCCAAUAAUAUAUUGACCUUAUUGUAUGAUGGUUG
rnacentral:lncRNA from 1 species